rnacentral:snRNA from 1 species
UGCUUUCCUAAGGUCUACCCAAGUGGUGGAGCCUACAUCAUAAUUUGUUGCCUGAGGGGGCGUGCGUUCGCGCGGCCCCCACC